rnacentral:rRNA from 1 species
GAACCGUCAAACGUUAUUCGGAAUCACUGGGCUUAAAGGGUACGUAGGCGGCCCGGAAAGUUGGGUGUGAAAUCCCUCGGGCUCAACCGAGGGAACUGCGCUCAAAACUUCCGGGCUUGAGGGAGACAGAGGUGAGCGGAACUUGCGGUGGAGCGGUGAAAUGCGUUGAUAUCGCAAGGAACACCAGUAGCGAAGGCGGCUCACUGGGUCUCUUCUGACGCUGAGGUACGAAAGCUAGGGGAGCGAACGGGAUUAGAUACCCCGGUAGUCCUAGCUGUAAACGAUGAGCACUUGGUUGGAGGCUCCUCCAUAGGCUUCCAGCCGAAGCGAAAGUGUUAAGUGCUCCGCCUGGGGAGUAUGGUCGCAAAGGCUG